GAUGAACGCUAGCGACAGGCCUAACACAUGCAAGUCGAGGGGCAGCACGGUGUAGCAAUACACGGGUGGCGACCGGCGCACGGGUGAGUAACGCGUAUGCAACCUGCCUACUACAAGGGGAUAACCCGUUGAAAGACGGACUAAUACCCUAUAACACAGGGAAUCCGCAUGGAUAUAUUUGUUAAAGAUUUAUCGGUAGUAGAUGGGCAUGCGUUCCAUUAGCUUGUUGGUGAGGUAACGGCUCACCAAGGCAACGAUGGAUAGGGGAACUGAGAGGUUGAUCCCCCACACUGGAACUGAGACACGGUCCAGACUCCUACGGGAGGCAGCAGUGAGGAAUAUGGUCAAUGGACGAGAGUCUGAACCAGCCAAGUCGCGUGAAGGAAGACGGCCCUACGGGUUGUAAACUUCUUUUGUAAGGGAAUAAAUAGUCUUACGCGCUAAGACGUUGCAGGUACCUUACGAAUAAGGAUCGGCUAACUCCGUGCCAGCAGCCGCGGUAAAAGUC
rnacentral:rRNA from 1 species